UCCAUGAUAAUUUUAUUUAACCGAUUCUGAUUCAAAGAAUACAUGAAUCACUAAUCCUUUGUCACCCCUCCGCCUCUUUCUUUUCUAGAAAAAGUUGAAUAUCCGCCUCUUUCUAUAAAAGAAUCUAUAAAAGAAAAAACUCACUACUAAAUUAAAUAGUUUUGCCACUUUUUGCUAUUUUACCUUUUUCACCUAAAAAUGCCAUUUUUUCCUUGCAGCACUAAGGAUCUACUACAAAAAAAACCACUUUUUUGCCUAAAAAAUGCAAAAUUGAGGCUAUAAAUACGCCAAGGGAUUAUGACUUAAAUUAGAGGAAAUAGAAUUGAAAAAUGGGGGUGUUAAAAGUGGCAAAACAGGGGCGUUUUUUACCUUACUAUUUAAUUUAGUAAGUCAAAAACCCUUGCGGCACUAAGAGUCUUGUUUUUUCACCCGCUAAAAAAUGUCUAAAAUUGCUAAAAAUUGAUUGUCUUUUAACACUACCCGGGAGCCUAUGAUUUUUUAGGGGUAAUUUAGGGAUAAAAUGGUGGCAAAUCUAGAAUACUAAGUUAUGAAAUUAGCGGUUUAUGGUAAAGGUGGUAUUGGUAAAUCGACAACAAGCUGUAAUAUUUCAAUUGCAUUAGCGAAACGAGGUAAACGUGUACUUCAGAUUGGUUGUGAUCCGAAACAUGACAGUACAUUUACUUUAACAGGAUUUUUAAUUCCAACGAUUAUUGAUACUCUACAAACGAAAGAUUAUCACUAUGAAGAUGUUUGGCCAGAAGAUGUAAUUUACAAAGGUUAUGGAGGUGUUGAUUGUGUAGAAGCUGGAGGUCCACCUGCAGGUGCUGGUUGUGGUGGUUAUGUAGUAGGUGAAACAGUAAAACUUUUAAAAGAACUAAAUGCGUUUUUUGAAUAUGACAUAAUUCUUUUUGACGUUUUAGGAGAUGUAGUUUGUGGAGGCUUUGCAGCGCCAUUAAAUUAUGCGGAUUAUUGCAUAAUCAUAACAGAUAACGGUUUUGAUGCUUUAUUUGCGGCGAAUAGAAUUUCAGCAUCUGUUCGUGAAAAAGCACGUACUCAUCCUUUACGAUUAGCUGGUCUAGUAGGUAAUCGUACUUCAAAACGUGAUCUAAUUGAUAAAUAUGUAGAAGCUUGUCCAAUGCCUGUAUUAGAAGUUCUUCCAUUAAUUGAGGAUAUUCGUGUAUCUCGAGUAAAAGGUAAAACACUAUUUGAAAUGGCAGAAAAUGAUAGUUCACUAAACUAUGUAUGUGAGUAUUAUUUAAAUAUUGCGGAUCAAAUUUUAGCUUCGCCAGAAGGUGUGGUUCCGAAUGAAGUACCCGAUCGUGAAUUAUUUAGUUUACUCUCUGAUUUUUAUUUAACAGCAGAUGAAUGUAAGAAUAGUUCAGAUGAUGAUUUAUUUGUUUUAGUUUAAAUAAUAUUAUGAAAGAACUUGAAUUUGAAUGUGAAACAGGAAAUUAUCACA
rnacentral:rRNA from 1 species